rnacentral:rRNA from 1 species
AUAGCCUACGGGGCGCAGCAGUGAGGAAUAUUGGUCAAUGGGCGAGAGCCUGAACCAGCCAAGUCGAGUGAGGGAAGACGGUCAUAUGGACUGUAAACCUCUUUUGCCGGGGAGCAAAAAGCGGUACGUGUACCGCAUCGAGAGUACCCGGAGAAAAAGCAUCGGCUAACUCCGUGCCAGCAGCCGCGGUAAUACGGAGGAUGCGAGCGUUAUCCGGAUUUAUUGGGGUUAAAGGGUGCGCAGGCGGCGAGUUAAGUCAGCGGUAAAAUUUCGGGGCUCAACCUCGACAAGCCGUUGAAACUGGU